rnacentral:rRNA from 1 species
AUGACGAACGCUGGCGGCGUGCUUAACACAUGCAAGUCGAACGGAAAGGCCCUGCUUUUGUGGGGUGCUCGAGUGGCGAACGGGUGAGUAACACGUGAGUAACCUGCCCUUGACUUUGGGAUAACUUCAGGAAACUGGGGCUAAUACCGGAUAGGAGCUCCUGCUGCAUGGUGGGGGUUGGAAAGUUUCGGCGGUUGGGGAUGGACUCGCGGCUUAUCAGCUUGUUGGUGGGGUAGUGGCUUACCAAGGCUUUGACGGGUAGCCGGCCUGAGAGGGUGACCGGCCACAUUGGGACUGAGAUACGGCCCAGACUCCUACGGGAGGCAGCAGUGGGGAAUAUUGCACAAUGGGCGGAAGCCUGAUGCAGCAACGCCGCGUGCGGGAUGACGGCCUUCGGGUUGUAAACCGCUUUCGCCUGUGACGAAGCGUGAGUGACGGUAAUGGGUAAAGAAGCACCGGCUAACUACGUGCCAGCAGCCGCGGUGAUACGUAGGGUGCGAGCGUUGUCCGGAUUUAUUGGGCGUAAAGGGCUCGUAGGUGGUUGAUCGCGUCGGAAGUGUAAUCUUGGGACUUAACCCUGAGCGUGCUUUCGAUACGGGUUGACUUGAGGAAGGUAGGGGAGAAUGGAAUUCCUGGUGGAGCGGUGGAAUGCGCAGAUAUCAGGAGGAACACCAGUGGCGAAGGCGGUUCUCUGGGCCUUUCCUGACGCUGAGGAGCGAAAGCGUGGGGAGCGAACAGGCUUAGAUACCCCUGGUAGUCCACGCUGUAAACGGUGGGUACUAGGUGUG